rnacentral:rRNA from 1 species
GACGAACGCUGGCGGCGUGCCUAAUACAUGCAAGUAGAACGCUGAAGAGAGGAGCUUGCUCUUCUUGGAUGAGUUGCGAACGGGUGAGUAACGCGUAGGUAACCUGCCUUGUAGCGGGGGAUAACUAUUGGAAACGAUAGCUAAUACCGCAUAACAAUGGAUGACACAUGUCAUUUAUUUGAAAGGGGCAAUUGCUCCACUACAAGAUGGACCUGCGUUGUAUUAGCUAGUAGGUGAGGUAAUGGCUCACCUAGGCGGCGAUACAUAGCCGACCUGAGAGGGUGGACGGCCACACUGGGACUGAGACACGGCCCAGACUCCUACGGGAGGCAGCAAGAGGGAAUCUUCGGCAAUGGGGGCAAACCUGACCGAGCAACGCCGCGUGGGUGAAGAAGGUUUUCGGAUCGUAAAGCUCUGUUGUAAGUCAAGAACGAGUGUGAGAGUGGAAAGUUCACACUGUGACGGUAGCUUACCAGAAAGGGACGGCUAACUACGUG